ACCCCCCCCCCCCAAAAAAAAAAACCCUGUACCCGUUAGAAACCACUGCCCAUUCCCUGGCCUCCGCUAUUGGCAACCACUAAUCUGCUUUCUGUUUCUGUGGAUUUGGACAGUUCAGGUAGGUGGAAUCAUACAAUAAGGGGCCUUUUGCAGUUGGCUUCUUUCACUUAGCAUAGUGUUUUCAAGAUCCAUCGAUGUCGUAGCAGGCAUGCCUCGUUAUCUUAUUCCUCUUUACAGCCAAAUAACAUGCUGCUUUAUGGAAGUGUCCCGUGGGGUUUAUCCACCCCCCAGUUGGUGGGCAUUUGGUACAUUUCUUCUUUUGGGCUCUUAGGAAUUGUGCUGCCGUGGGCUCUCAUGCACAUGUUUUUUUGAUUUUUUUUUUUGGCCACAUCCAUGGCGUGCAGAAGUUCACUGGCCCAGGAUCAAACCUGAGCCACGGCAGCAACCCGAGUUACAGCAGUGACAGUGCUGAGUCCUUAGCUGCUAGGCCACCAGGAAACUCCUCUUCGUUGAACUUUUGAAGAACUGCCAGACUGUUGUCCGAGGUUCCUGGCAUCAUCUUCCAUUCCCGCCAGCCGUGCUGGAGGGUUCCAGUAUCUCCAUAGCCUCCCCAACACCUGUUGUUGCCCUUUUCCUCGCAUCUCCUAGCAGGGGUGAGGAGGUGCGAGUAUCUUCUUGAUCCUCAGCUGCCGCCUCUGCGACGUGGGACAGUUUCAUGUUACGGUUUUCAGGUGUAAGAAAGUCGAGGCGGGUCCGAGUUUCUGGUCUGAACCCUGAGGCAUCAUGGUGUGCAGGAACAGACCCAGGUCCCCGUCGUCCCCGCCCCGCGCCCCAGGAAGUCUUCUGUGUGGGGCCCUGAGCCCCGGGUUUGCUUAGGCGUGUUUAUUUCUACUUUAUGGUGCAGCAGGCACCCCGAGCAUGUGUGUUCUUAUGUUGCAGAAACACUGAUGGGAACGCUUUGGUUGGGAAAGGCCUUGGUUCCUCCUGGAGUCACUGUAGACCCGGCCCAGCUCUGUGACCUUGAAGCUCUUCUAAGGAGCGCAGCCCUGCUUUCCCAGACGCGGUGCGUCCUCCAGUGCCGCAUGGCUGGACGGCCCCAUUUCAGUUCCGCAGCCAUAAUCAACCCCACUUGACACAUGGAGGCCUCACCAUGCUUGCUGACCUGGCUAUGGCGACAGCAGUGCCGUGGAAACCCUGUAUUCUGUAGGGACUCCCCUGUUGGAAAGGAAAUUCUCUUUGUGGCCCCGUGUGGGUUUACAAAACAGCUGUGUCUGUCGGUUCCCUUACUUGCUUUGAUCUGCUGAUGACACUUGUCUGAGGUUGGCUUAUUUUCUUGCCUGUUUACCUAACGGCCCAUUUCUGCCCUCAUCCUCAGGUAGGGCUCCGAAAUCAAAGAUUUUCUUCCCCCAUUUAUUGCUAUGACCUCAGUCCCUCGGGCAGUUCGUGGCCCAGGGGCACCUUGACAAAGGAAGGGGAAGUGGGGGGACCCCCCACCAGGAAUCCCAUUGCAGAGUGAGGAGGCCUGUCUCCGGUUCCUCAACAGCUCAGCUCCCCGCUGCCUGGCACUUGGCUGUGUUCGUUUGUUUAGCAAACUUACUGAGUGUAGACUCCCCCUAACACUCAGAGGUCACCCCACCUGCCUGCCUUUGGAUCCCCGGUCUUAGAGGUCACCCCACCUGCCCGCCUUUGCAUCCCUGGUCUCCAUGUGUUAACUGUACCCCUGGGGCGUCCCUGACCUCCGAGCAGCUCACUUCCUCCCAUCCCUAGAAUGAAUGUGAUAAUGCUGAUUUCCUCGUGGACUCGUGAGGACUCAGUGAAUUAGAGCGUCACAGCCUCACAGAACAAGGGAUAAGUAAAUAGCCACCAGAGCCAUAAUAGUAACACUUAAUGUUAUUUUUUAUUAUGUGCCUUUCGUUUUGCUGCUGUUUUCUACUAGGUGUCAGGCAUCGUUGCAGUGUCUGGAGAUGCUCAGUUAUAGUAGACGAAAUUGUAUCCAUCAUGGAACUCGCAUUGAAGCGUAGGGGGAAACUAGCACACUAGAUCAUUUGCCAUGAAAAUGAAGCAGGCAGGGGAGCUGCCUGGUGGCCUAGGAUUCAGCCCUUUCACCACUGUGCCCUGGGUUCAGUCCUUGGUCUGGGAACUGAGAUCCA
rnacentral:lncRNA from 1 species